AAGGAAAAACAAAGAAUGGAUUAGGGGAAGGGGAAGGACUCACGGCAAGAAUAAAAGAAAAGAAAAAGAGGGCUUUGGGUAGUAGAAGGAUUCUAACACAGGGAAAACACACGGGCAACAAUAAGUCAAGGGAAAAUCUUGUGAAAAGCUUGGCAACCACUUUUGAGAACAAAAGAAAACAUGAGAUUUUCACUUUUCUUCCAUUGAAGAGCACCAGGAAAAUUCAACGAAGAGAAACUAACUAAAUAGAGAAGAAGAAGGAGGAGGCGGAGGAGAAGAAGAAGAAGAUGAAGAAGAAGAAGAAGAAGAAGAAGAAGAAAAAGAAGAAGAUGGAUUGGAGGAAGUUGUACGAAUUGCUCGAGGUGAAGCAUUUGGUAUUUCGGCACGAGUACCAGACAGCAGUUGACACAGGCGAGGAUUUCAUUAAUUAGAG